UCCUCUAUAGCCUUUUAUGGGAUCGGCUAGAGAUGAUUUAAUAAUUUAUAAAAAAUCAAGGAAUGAAAUCUACACUAUUCCUAGCGAAAAUGGACAUGCUAAACAUCAUCUAAAAAUUAAUUUUGGAAAAGUCAGUUUUCUAAGCCAUUAGAUUUAAGAUCCAACAACAGUCUUUUUGUCCUUUUCCUCCGUCUUUCUUCUUCUCCAACCGUCCCUUCUCAUGCAAAAUUUACUUAACGAAAAUUCAGUCAACUUACAUAUGCUAUUGUAUAAAAAGGAAACUAAUUUGACCUUGGUCGAACCAUCAAGGAUCUUUGCACUACACCAGAGCAGAUUAAUCUUUUCCCGCAAAAAGAAAAAGAAGAAAAAAAGAGAGCAGACGAAUCUUGAUGUCAGACAGUUAAAGCAGAGGAAGUGCUAAAUCUAACUGACAACUUCACGGCCACACAUAACCAUCUCGAAUUUAUUUCAGCACAACUCUUAAUCCAGGAAGACAUUAGGCUGGUCAUAGUGGGGAGUAACUUAGACUAGUAACAUACAUAUGUUACUAGUCUAUGUUAUUACCUUCAUAGUGGGUAGUGUCAUAGGUGUGGUAACAUAGUUGCCUUCAUUUAUUACUUUGUAGACUCAUUAUGCAUUGGAAACCGCUAUGUGAUGGUAACAUAUUAUGUUACUCUAUUUGCCUCUCUCCUCAUUAACUACUUGCCACAUCAUCAUUUUUGCUUAUGUGGCAUCUAUGUUACUACCUAUGUUACUCCCACUAUGAGGCUGGUAAGCAUUACUACCUAUGUUACUCCCACUAUGAGGCUGGUCAUAGUGGGAGUAACAUAAGCAAAAAUGAUGAUGUGACAAGUAGUUAAUGAGGAGAGAGACAAAUAGAGUAACAUAAUAUGUUACCAUCACAUAGCGGUUUCCAAUGCAUAAUGAGUCUACAAAGUAAUAAAUAAAGACAACUAUGUUACCACACCUAUGACACUACCCACUAUGAAGGUAGUAACAUAGACUAGUAACAUAUGUAUGUUACUAGUCUAAGUUACUUCCCACUAUGACCAGCCUUAGUCGACUUGAUCGACAUAGAAAUACGUAGCAUUAUUCUGCCAAACUCACCGGAGAGUGUUUCAUGUCCAGCGGACAGUUGUACUAUCUAUUUCUUGCAUGC
rnacentral:lncRNA from 1 species